AAAUAGACCUUGUGAUGAUCCUGAACAAUUAUAAAGAUCUACAACAAUUGAUGGUAGAUAUGGAAGGACUACUUGGAGAUCUAGAGCGUUAUUUGUCGAGGUGUACUCAAGCCAGACCUAAACGAAAAACACGGGGUUCCGUGCAGGUACAGAUAACGUGUAGUUCUGGACAUACACGCGAUGCUGACAUAUUGCCAGCAGUAGAUCUGCUUGGAUUAGGACAUUCUCGAACAGAAAUAUUCCAAAAGACGCAAUACGCUUAUGUAAAUAUCCAUGAACAUGCGGUGACACUGGCGCCUCUACCUUCCCUUUUAACCACAACACCUUUAAGAUUGUCUAAAAGAUGCAAAUGAAAUAUAGCAUGGAUAUGGUCCAUAUCAGUAAAAUGCCGUAUAUCAUGGACCCAGCCAACCCAUUUAACGACAUGUAUCAUGGCCUUGUCGGUGGCAAAGCUUUCGAUUAUGAACAAGUAGUGCCGGAAGCCAAACUCUGGCUAAGUAAACCUUUAUUCUUUGGUGUCAACACAUCAAAGUUAUGGUAAAACAGAACUCGGAUGUAAUGAACAAUGAGCUAAAUAUUAGCUAACAAAGAAAUAAAUAUUAGCACAUGAAGUGUCUCUAUAAAAGUAUUAGAUUAUAAACAAUAGUGAAUUGUUUGAGUUAAGUUGAGGUUAAGGUGAUACGGAGAGGUGUUUCAAUUUUUCAGUUUACCAAAUUUAUUGUCAAAAAUAUUUUAUUUAUUUCCAAUACAUGUAGAUGUACAUAAAGACUAUUUAAUUUGAAAUAAUAUUUCAAAUAAUGUUUAGUUUCUCCCCGCACUUCUAUCAACUACUUGAUAAUGAUUUUUUAUUUAAUGUUUUUUAAACAUACAAGGCAGAUAAUUCAUAU